CUAGCUGUAAACGAUGGAUACUAGGCGUUGAGAGUAUCGACCCUCUCAGUGUCGUAGCUAACGCGUUAAGUAUCCCGCCUGGGGAGUACGCGCGCAAGCGUGAAACUCAAAGGAAUUGACGGGGGCCCGCACAAGCGGUGGAGUAUGUGGUUUAAUUCGAUGCAACGCGAAGAACCUUACCAGGGCUUGACAUGUCCGGAACCCUGCCCAAAGGCGGGGGUGCCUACGGGAACCGGAACACAGGUGGUGGC
rnacentral:rRNA from 1 species